UACGUAGGUGGCAAGCGUUGUCCGGAUUUACUGGGCGUAAAGAGCGCGCAGGCGGCUCGGUAAGUCUGCUGUGAAAUCUUCCGGCUUAACUGGGAGGGGUCAGCGGAUACUGUCGGGCUUGAGGCAGGUAGAGGAAGGUGGAAUUCCCGGUGUAGUGGUGAAAUGCGUAGAUAUCGUUUGGAACGCCGAUGGUGAAAACAGGUCGCUGGGGUUGUGCUGACGCUGAGACACGAAAGCCAGGGGAGCGAACGGG
rnacentral:rRNA from 1 species